UAAGAAGAACCUACUUCAUUGACUUCUACUAAUCUAAUUGUUGAGAAUUUAACUUAAAUUAAGAGUGGUGAGAUGACCUUGAAAAUCUACUGGACCUCCUGUAGUCCAGAGGGAGAAUUUCCAGAGCUCAAGAAUGAUUCAGAAUACCCCAAGAAGAAGAGUUAUUCAGCAAGUUCCAUAACCAGCCGGUGUGGCGUCGUUCUUGCUGGUCAAGGGUGGACGCUGCAAGUGGUGGCCCGUACGGGGACUUCAGAACUUCUCACAGUCGGGGCGGCGCCGGUAAGUUCCCAAGGUAAGUGGAACUGUAAGGUCUUCGGUAAAGGAGCACCAAAGCCCUCGGGGAAGAGGCAGUAAAGUCUCCAGAAAGGAGCCACACUGUUCUCGACAAAAGCGAACCAAAAGUAAAAAAACCUCGCUUCUGCUUUAACUUGCAGAGUGAAAGUAAGUUAAUGGACCCCGCUAUUAUAGUGGUGAUUUGGCUGCUUUUUAACAUCGCAGUGUGGGCUUUUGUUUUCUGGUGUUGUUAUCCGACUUGCACACCUUCAGAGCACGCUAAGACAAAGCACGCACAAUGGGAUCGUCACAAUCACAUCCAAUUUUUCUGGCUCUUCACGA
rnacentral:lncRNA from 1 species